rnacentral:tRNA from 1 species
UGGGGAGUCGCCAAGUGGUAAGGCAUCGGCCUUUGAAGCCGACACCGAAGGUUCGAAUCCUUCCUCCCCAACCA